rnacentral:rRNA from 1 species
UAGGGAAUAUUGGUAAUCUGGGCAACCGGGAACCAGCAACGCCGCGUGCGCGAUGAAGGCCUUCGGGUUGUAAAGCGCUUUUUGAGAGGAUGAGGAAGGACAGUACUCUUAGAAUAAGCCUCGGCUAACUACGUGCCAGCAGCCGCGGUAAAACGUAGGAGGCGAGCGUUAUCCGGAUUUACUGGGCGUAAAGCGUGUGUAGGCGGUUUGAUAAGUUGGAUGUGAAAGCUGCUGGCUUAACUGGGAGAGGUCGUUCAAAACUAUCAGACGUGAGAGUGGUAGAGGGAGGUGGAAUUCCGCAGGUAGUGGUGAAAUGCGUAGAUAUGCGGAGGAACACCAGUGGCGAAAGCGGCCUCCUUGCCCAUUUCUGACGCUCAGACACGAAAGCUAAGGUAGCAAACG